ACUCACGCCACAACGUUCGAUUCGAUAACGAUUGUGAUUAUCGUUUCAGAAGCCUAUUAGUGAAACGAUUAUGGUCGCAAGAUAUGAGCCACACGCGUUCGUUAUGCUUUGUGCGGGUCACUCUCGUUUCCCCCCUGGAAAAACUGCAUCAAACGCCACCCGGUCCAGUCAGUGGAUCGAUUGAAAUAAAUCAUACGAUUUGUUUAUCAAAAAUGUAUAGCGCAUGGUAUUUAGAUUCCAGACUAUCCGACUGUGAUUUCUGUAUUGGUGUUUGCGUUUCUCUAUUGAAAAGCAUUCCUCAGUCCUGGGGUUGUAAAACAUCCCAUCACUCAUUGUUAGCAGCCAGGUUCAGUUGUGGAGGCGACUUGAGACUGGGUGGAUCACUAGUUGAGUGCAAUCAAAUGGGCGAUAGUAGCUUCAAACUUUGAGUGAGGUGUAUCAUCAGAAAAUUGAAUGAGAAUAGUCUAUUAUUACGGAAGUAAGCCGUGAAUUUCCACACAGGAAUGAAACAAUUGAAUUAUUAAGGUCACACGCAGAGAUAGUCCAUCGACCCAUCAUCUACAUAUAGUAUACACGCCAUACGGUAUAGUUCAGCGGAGACAACGCUGUAAUCAUACACAGACGGACAUUACUUUAAAAUCCGAACGGAGUAACGACAUCAUCAGAUGAUAUGUGCCGUUGUAUUCUUAUCAAUGAACCCAUAUAUGACGAACGAGUGUAAUAAAUAGAACGGUAAUUCCAAAACACCCGACCGGGUAAUAUUUAGCCGAGAAGUGUUAGUGAAGUAAACCGCGUGUGCUUGGGAGACAUCGUAGAAGAAGUUGUAAUCUUCCUUACGGACGGGGGAAGUGUGAUGGUGCAGCACAUCUUGUGGUCCAUGCUGGAAUCAUUGGAAACGGCCCCUGUGGAUUAGUGGUAGUGGUGGGUGCCAUUACACGAGCAAGGAAAGAAGGACCUUUCUUUCGGUGGUGUUGCGUAGCCGAGCGCGGACGUCUUACCGCGUGGUGAUCUCGAUAGUUUCGCGCGCGCCAUUGUCAUUCAAACUCAACGGAUCUGUGUUCUCUCGCGGAUAAAUUGCUGCACACAAACGGAAUAUCCACGAUGUUGGGAAUCAAAUACCUGAAAGAAGCCCACCUGAAGGGUUUCGAGAAGUACAAAUACAGCUGCGUAGACAACAGCAUACUCAGCGUCCAUGUGAUGCACCCCUUCUGGAACUGGCUGGUGCAGUUCUUCCCGCGAUGGAUCGCCCCCAAUUUGCUCACAUUCACCGGCUUCAUGCUGACGGUGGUGAACUUCUUCCUGAUAGGAUACUACGACUAUGGCUUUACGGCGGCCACCCAGACGCCGAAUCCCAUACCCGGCUGGGUGUGGAUAGUAGCCGGCAUUAAUUUAUUCGUAGCGUAUACAUUAGAUGGUAUUGAUGGAAAACAAGCUCGACGAACGGGCACCAGUGGACCACUGGGAGAACUUUUUGACCACGGUGUAGACUCGUACUCCACGCUACUGAUUCCGGUGUACGUAUUCAGUUUGUUCGGAAUCGUCGAUCUACCUCCCAUUAGAAUGCACUUUGUGAUGCUGAACGCUUAUCUCAACUUUUAUCUGCCACACGUGGAGAAAUACAUCACCGGUGUGAUGUUCCUGCCUUGGGGCUACGAUUUCCUUAUGUGGGGUGUUUCGCUAACUAUGGCAGCUACGGGUAUUUUCGGACCGGAAAUUUGGCAGGUUCCAAUCUUCGGAGUCAGACCAUGUUUGUACUUUGAAAUGGCUUUAUACGUGUCCGGUCUGCUCACUAGUCAUCCCAUUAUUGCGUACAACAUCUACAAAUCGUACCGGGACAAAACGGGCAAGAUGCGUCCAUUUGGAGAGGCAUUCCGACCAAUGGUUCCGCUGUUUUUCCUAGCUAUCGUCAGCACCAUCUGGGCAUUCCUUUCCCCCAACAGUAUUGUAACCCUGGAGCCACGGAUGUUCAUUGUUCUUAGUGGAACAGUCUUCUCCAACAUCAACUGCCGACUGAUCGUAGCCCAGAUGACUGACACCAGGGCGGACCUCUGGAACGGGUUGCUGAAUCUCCUGACGGCGGCCGCCAUCGUUUGCAUAUUCCCCUACCCGAUACUGGGUAUUCCCGCCCUCUGGCUGGAGUACGAACGGAACAUCCUGUAUGCACUGGUUCUGGUCGUCACCGUGGCGCACCUGCACUACGGCCAAGGUGUGGUACGGGAAAUGUGCUCCCACUUCCGGAUCCGGUGUUUCAAAAUACCAGCAUACGGUAAAUCAUCAGCAUUACUAGGCUACUAAAACCCAAACUCGCGAAUCUCAAAUCUCGCACAUUAGCGCGUUGUUCGUACCACGUACCAUCACGACUUGUCGGGGGAGCAUAGUACUACACCAACAACCACCACAGGUCCAUAGCUGAUAAGCCAUCACCACCUCCCGCAUCAUCGCAUCGGUGCAGAAUUAAGAUAACACCACCAGCUGCUCCGACCCCCGAAGUAGCCCGCCUUACGUCCAACGGAGGACCUCCUGCCGCUCCCCAUGACGAAAUGAUUGAGAUUGAAUUGUGAACUACGAAGAGCUACAGCUCUGAGUAAUCGUAUAGUCGGAGGAGUGAGUGUGCAAUGAUAUCUCAAGCGGAGAGCUACUAAUGGGGAGUCACUGAACGAACGUGAACUGAAACACUGUCGAGAGGAGAUUGUUUGCAGUACCGAGUCAACGAAGACGGCGUGAGUGAAGUGCAACGCAAAAUGAGAUUACUUAAAUUUUGUAAAUAUACUAGUGAAAAGGUUAUAAAUCUAUACUGAGAGAAAAGGCAA